GUUUUUAUAGGGUUUGUAGACCUUCCGAUCCUUGUUUAAAGACCCCUGCUGAUGCCUGAUAAUUAUUUUGAAAACUGCACUUCUCAUCUGAAGGUUUUAGUUUCAGUGUAUGAGUAUCUGAUGAAAGAAAUUCAUUCAAUGGUUUUGUAGCGUUGGAUUUAAUUUCAGGGUUGGGCUCCUUUCUAGGAAUGGAGGAAUACUGUAAUAUGGGGACGAAACUUCAGAGCAUAGUAUAAAAAUUAUUAAUUCAAAAGUGUACCUGCUGUCAGAUUGGAUGUCAGUGCCGACAUCCCUAGGGGCUGCUGUUCCCAAGACUGUUUUCAUUGUUUCUAUCCAGCACUAGGCACGAGCCUUGAAGUAGUGAAUUCAUCCUCUGAGGUUGUGUGUCCAUUGCUUCAAGAAUAAAAGAAGUAGCAACAGAAUCAUGCAGCGCAGUAUUUCACAGUGACAGUUUUAUGUGGUUGUGUGAUGUUGCAGAGUCUUGUAUGUGAUGUCGACCCUUUUCUUUUGAAUCAAAGCACAGGGCUUUCCUGGAGAAGGGAGGCUUCAAAAAUAACUAGUCUAACACAAAAUUAAGCUCCUAAAUAGUUAUUGCAUUCUGUCUACUACAAAACUAAUUGCUUACAGGAAGUAAAAAGUACAUAUAUCUAAUAUUUAUAUCCCACUUGAAUAGUGGUUUCUAAUUUUAGAUUUCCAGCCCUUUUUUACAUUGUCUUUUUGCAUUGAAAUUAUACUGAAACAUUCAUAUUAUUAUGAAUGCAAUCUAAAUUAAAUAGACAAAGAUACUUGGUUUCUCCCUUCAUGUUGUCAUCUAUUGGAGAAUGACUAGCUUAAAAUAAGUGCAUCAGUUCCCCAUCCAAAGGGAAGCUGAAUAUUCCAAAUCUAGAUCAGCAGUCACUUUGUGUGCCUAUUUGAAAUACCAUUUUUGAACACACUUGGCAACUUAAAGUGCCCAAUUAAAAGCUCUGUAAAAAGAGGAAGUCUGUAGAUGUGCAAUUAGUCCUUAGGAUUCAGAGCGUUUCCUUUAUGUGUGGAAUCACUGGACACAAUAGCUUUAUGCCAGGUGCUUAGAAUAGAAAGUAUUUUUCAGGAUGGAUUAUUUCUGUACUUGGUGCUCCUAAAAUGGUUACUUAAAGAGGCUCUCAACUCCAUAAAAAUAGUAGUGGCGUGAAGAAAUUUUGGAUGUGGUCUUUCACGAAAUUUUAGGCGAUCAAUAACUAUAGCUAGCCAUCUAACUGAUGGGCAGUACACAAAAGUUGCUUAGGUUUCUGGACGCUCUAUUUUAUCUGAUUGCCAAUCUCCCUCUUCCCACCUUUAAUUUGUUUUUUUAAGAGAUGAGGGUUGGAUGCCAGAGAAUUAGCCAGUAUUGUGUUCUUCCUUACUAAAGAAUGAAGCUUCACUGAGUAGAGCCAGAUGGGUUGUAUAUUCUGGGAUUAUUUGUAGUGUUUAUGAUAGAGAGACCCAAAACACUAAGCACUUAAUAGCUUUCCUUAUUUACAAGUCAGAUUCAUCUAAGGGACAUUAUUCUUUUAUUUUUCUGGUGCUUGAAAUGUUCCUUUAAAAUAGAUUAUUAGAGGAUACACAGUGGCACAAAAUUUGUUGCUUGUGAAAAUGCAGAAUGGAUUAAGCUUUUCUUUUUUAAUGCUCUGUAACAAAACAGGUCCAUUUUAUUUCAGUAAAAACACUGAUUUUUUUGCCUAAGUCUCACACACACACAGUUAACAUUGUGUAGAUAAGUGGCUCUUGUUUCCCAGUUGUAUAACAGAUGCAUUCUGUUAAAGUUUGCAGUAAAGUGAAUGUUUAUUAAGUUAAUUAUUUUUCCCCAGUGACUUCUAGUGUAAAAAUCCUGUUGUCUUCCGCUGGGCUCUGGAUAUAGUAUGUUCUCCGGAUAUAGUAUAGUAUGUUUGGUAAGAAUACCAAAAAACC